rnacentral:rRNA from 1 species
UACAGAGGUCUCAAGCGUUGUUCGGAUUCAUUGGGCGUAAAGGGUGCGUAGGCGGCGCGGUAAGUCGGGUGUGAAAUCUCGGAGCUUAACUUCGAAACUGCAUUCGAUACUGCCGUGCUUGAGGACUGGAGAGGAGACUGGAAUUUACGGUGUAGCGGUGAAAUGCGUAGAUAUCGUAAGGAAGACCAGUGGCGAAGGCGGGUCUCUGGACAGCUCCUGACGCUGAGGCACGAAGGUCAGGGGAGCAAACGGG